rnacentral:misc_RNA from 1 species
AUUUUCUUUCUAUAUAAGUCAUGCUUACAUAUUACAGUUCUUAUUUUUUUGGCCAACCUGAAUAGCAGCAAGCAAACAGUAGAAACUUCAUGACACAAACUAGGAACACAAAGUGAUUCUUGAAAACAUUUCAAGAUUGUAGUUUCCAGACAUUUUAUACAUAAUCUCAGAUACAGUAUGAAGUAUUAGUAGAAACUUCAUGACACUUGAAACUUUUCAUGAGUGCUUUUCUUACACGAACUAGAAAAACUUGAUAUGUUUGAAACACCGAAUAAAGAGCAACAAGCAUGAAAAUUCACAAAAGAGAAUGAUACAUUUCAUGGCUUUAACAUCCAAGGCAUCCAAUCUUCUUAGGGGCUUGUCCCGUAGCACGAUACUUGGCAGCUAUCUCCUCUGCUUUAAGAAGUUCUUCUCCUCGUCUCGCUUCAACCAUAGCUCUCUUUUCCUCUGCCUCCAUGUGAACUGCAGCUACUUUAUUUUUAAUCUUCUCUGCAUAUUCUGCCUUCUUUUGCUCUAGUUGUUCCUCAAGUUUCUUCAGUUUAGCUUCAAUAUUUGCUUUCUUGGUGUUCUCCCAUGUUCCAACUGACGAGAGCUUCUUCUCGGCCUUGUUAUUCACCUUGCUUUUUUCACUUUCUUCCCAUGCCUUGAUAUAGGAAUUCCUUUUCUCUUCUU